rnacentral:rRNA from 1 species
GAAGAUGGCGACCGGCGCACGGGUGAGUAACACGGUAUCCAACCUGCCGAUAACUCUGGAAUAGCCUUUCGAAAGAAAGAUUAAUACCGGGAUAGUAUACGAAUAUCGCAUGAUAUUUUUAUUAAAGAAUUUCGGUUAUCGAUGGGGAUGCGUUCCAUUAGUUUGUUGGCGGGGUAACGGCCCACCAAGACUACGAUGGAUAGGGGUUCUGAGAGGAAGGUCCCCCACAUUGGAACUGAGACACGGUCCAAACUCCUACGGGAGGCAGCAUG